AGCAUUAGGAUUCUCUUCGGUUCAGGUGAUUCAAACACUGUAUCCAUCAAUCUGAAGCACAGAGGGAGAGAUUACAGUAUCACAACAGGUCAUAGCCUGAUCCGAAGGUGUUGGUCUCGUGACCCAAAAUGGAUAUCACCUACUUGAGGCACAGAACACAGUCGAACUCGACUAAACAUGUUAAUACAGAUGAUUCUGUCAUGAGUCGUGUGCAGAUGCGCAUCAGUAAAGACGAAGAUCAAAAAGAAAGCCAAUAAGAUGCCUCUAAGAAUAAGAAUUUUGGUUCUUUUUUUCUGAAUAUUUGCACGUUGUAAACAAAACCCAAAGUUAGCCCUCAAGCAAGAUAAGUAUAUUCAUUUUUGCAUUUGAGAAUAUCCACUUUAUUAAGAUUACAUGUAUUUUCACAGCUUAUUCAAGUUGACCUAUACCUGAUAUUUGCUGCGAGUAAUGUGCUAUGCAUUCUCUUUUUUUUUUCUUCUUUGCUUUAAAUUAGGAAGACUGAAAGAACUGUAAACAAUUGUAGCAAUGUAUUACUCUUAUAAAACAUUUGCCAAAUGUAAUUGAAAUACUUUAAAGUUUUGUGCACUGUCUAGUUUUGUACUGAAAUAAAUAAUACUAUAUGUAUGUAU